rnacentral:rRNA from 1 species
UACGGAGGGUGCAAGCGUUGUCCGGAAUCACUGGGCGUAAAGGGCGCGUAGGCGGCUCAUGAAGGCUGUGGUGAAAGUCCGGGGCUCAACCUCGGAUCGGCCGUGGCGACUCGUGGGCUGGAGCACUGUAGAGGCGGGUGGAAUUCCGGGUGUAGCGGUGGAAUGCGUAGAGAUCCGGAAGAACACCAGUGGCGAAGGCGGCCC